CAAACGACUCUCAGCAACGGAUAUCUUGGCUCUUGCAAC
rnacentral:rRNA from 1 species